AUUGAACGCUGGCGGCAGGCCUAACACAUGCAAGUCGAGCGAGCGGCGGACGGGUGAGUAAUGUAUGGGGACUGCCCGCUAGAGGGGGAUAACUACUGGAAACGGUGGCUAAUACCGCAUACUAUCGGAUAACCCAUAUGGGAGUAGCUAGUAGGUGGGGUAAAGGCUCACCUAGGAGACGACCUCUAGCUGGUCUGAGAGGAUGAUCAGCCACGCUGUGACUGAGACACGACCCCGACGCCUACGGAGUCAGCAGUGGGUAAUAUUGCACAAAGGGCGCAAGCCUGAUGAAGCCAUCCCGCGUGUAUGAAGAAGGCCUUAGGGUUGUAAAGUACUUUCAGCGGGGAGGCGUUACCCGCAGAAGAAGCACCGGCUAACUCCGUGCCAGCCGCCGCGGUAAUAC
rnacentral:rRNA from 1 species